rnacentral:rRNA from 1 species
CCUACGGGAGGCAGCAGUGGGGAAUAUUGGGCAAUGGGCGCAAGCCUGACCCAGCAACGCCGCGUGAAGGAAGAAGGCUUUCGGGUUGUAAACUUCUUUUUUCAGGGACGCAGCAAGUGACGGUACCUGCGGAAUAAGCCACGGCUAACUACGUGCCAGCAGCCGCGGUAAUACGUAGGUGGCAAGCGUUAUCCGGAUUUACUGGGUGUAAAGGUCGUGUAGGCGGGGACGCAAGUCAGAUGUGAAAACCACGGGCUCAACCUGUGGCCAGCAUUUGAAACUGUGUGUCUUGAGUACUGGAGAGGCAGACGGAAUUCCUAGUGUAGCGGUGAAAUGCGUAGAUAUUAGGAGGAACACCAGUGGCGAAGGCGGUCUGCUGGACAGCAACUGACGCUGAGGCGCGAAAGCGUGGGGAGCAAACAGGAUUAGAUACCCGGGUAGUC